AAGUGGAUUAGUGGCGCACGGGUGAGUAACGCAUAGGUAAUAUGCCUCCAUAGUCUAGGGAUAGCCACUGGAAACGGUGAUUAAUACUGGAUAUUCCCUACGGGGGAAAGUAAUUUCGCUAUGAGAUUAGCCUAUGCCCUAUCAGCUUGUUGGUGAGGUAAUGGCUCACCAAGGCUAUGACGGGUAUCCGGCCUGAGAGGGUGAACGGACACACUGGAACUGAGACACGGUCCAGACUCCUACGGGAGGCAGCAGUAGGGAAUAUUGCUCAAUGGGGGAAACCCUGAAGCAGCAACGCCGCGUGGAGGAUGAAGGUUUUAGGAUUGUAAACUCCUUUUGUUAGAGAAGAUA
rnacentral:rRNA from 1 species